rnacentral:rRNA from 1 species
AGUGAACGCUGGCGGUAGGCCUAACACAUGCAAGUCGAACGGCAGCACAGUAAGAGCUUGCUCUUACAGGUGGCGAGUGGCGGACGAGUGAGGAAUACAUCGGAAUCUACUUUUUCGUGGGGGAUAACGUAGGGAAACUUACGCUAAUACCGCAUACGACCUACGGGCGAAAGCAGGGGAUCUUCGGACCUUGCGCGAUUGAAUGAGCCGAUGUCGGAUUAGCUAGUUGGCGGGGUAAAGGCCCACCAAGGCGACGAUCCGUAGCUGGUCUGAGAGGAUGAUCAGCCACACUGGAACUGAGACACGGUCCAGACUCCUACGGGAGGCAGCAGUGGGGAAUAUUGGACAAUGGGCGCAAGCCUGAUCCAGCCAUACCGCGUGGGUGAAGAAGGCCUUCGGGUUGUAAAGCCCUUUUGUUGGGAAAGAAAAGCAGCAGGUUAAUACCCCGCUGUUCUGACGGUACCCAAAGAAUAAGCACCGGCUAACUUCGUG